UAUACUAUUCUCAAUAUGGCUACUGGGUGUAAAAGAUAAAUCUUAUUCUAUCUGUUCUUCAUGAGUUUUAGAUAAUUUUAGUUGUAUUUCUUUGUAAUUUUGUGUUGUACAAAGAUUAAUUUAACAUUUUCUCUGGAAGUAUUAAUUUAGAAAGAUAAUAUGCUUCAUUGGUGUUGUGUUUUGAAGUGUGAAAUGCAAAGUAAUUGUGAUAAAGUCAAGAUAAAGUUCACUUUUAAACUGAACUAAAUAAGGUAUCUGAGAGACAACAAUGGUUAAAUGCAAUACAAUGUACAGGUUUUACUAGCGAAAUGAAAAUUUUCCUGUCCUGUCUGCUGUAAUCAUUUUAUAUCUGGUAAGUUACAAUUACAACAGUAACGAUUUUUGAAGAUGUUAACAUUUUAAUCUUAUAGGAAAAUAGGAAAACCAGCCGACUUAAUCGAUAAUAACAAUCUCCAGAUUGGGUUCCUUCAAUAAAUAUGGGCUAUAAACACAAUGAAAUAAGUUCCCCAAAAUCUAAAAUGGAGUGCUAUCAAAGGAGAAUUAAAGGAAAAAAUAUUCAUAUUGAAAUUAUUUAUAAGGCACUGGACUGUCUUAAAUUCUACAAUAAUACUAGAAUCAGCUGAGAGAAGUGGUCUACAAAAAACCAGGAAGGAAACGGAAUAUGUGGCUACGAAAGGCAAAAGAAAGGUUUACAAAGCAAAUGUGACACAUUUUUUUGAAAUAUUUAGGAAUAUCAGUAAAUUGCAUUAAAAAAUGUAUGAAAAGAUUUUGUUCAAUAAAAAUGUUUAUAUUUA